rnacentral:rRNA from 1 species
GGUAUUUUGACCGUGCAAAGGUAGCAUAAUCAUUAGUUUUUUAAUUGAAAGCUGGAAUGAAAGGUUGGAUGAGAAAAAAGCUGUCUCUAUUUAAUUUAUUUAGAAUUUUAUUUUUAAGUUAAAAAGCUUAAAUUUAGAUAAAAGACGAGAAGACCCUAUAGAGUUUUAUUAGUUUUUUUUAUAGAGUUAAUGGUAUUUUUUGUCUUUAUAGGAAAAAUUAAUUUAGUUGGGGUGAUUGAAAAAUUGAAUUAACUUUUUUUUUAUAUUUACAUUAAUAAAUGGUUAUUUGAUCCUUAAUUUAAGAUUAAAAGAUAAAAUUACCUUAGGGAUAACAGCGUAAUUUUUUUUGAGAGUUCAAAUCGAAAGAAAAGAUUGCGACCUCGAUGUUGGAUUAAAAUAAAAUUUUGGUGUAGAAGCUAAAA